AUUAUUUGUCUUUACUACUGCUAUCCUACUUGACACCCAUACUUUUGGUUUCCCAAAGAGUGAUUGUUACUCCAUGUUGAGGGUUUUUCUCAGGAAUUUCUCUAAUUUCCUUUCUUUGCUUUUCCCCUAUGCCUGGUACAAUCCAUUGACUUGUUUCCACCUGUGAUCUCAGAGGAAACAGCUUGCUCCUCUAGACACUUGCUUCUUCAGCCAUUUUCUUCAUCACAAGAGGUAUGCAGAGGUGCACUUCUCAACACCUUAGCAUCCUGAUUCCUCAAACUCUGUUCCAGCUGCCAUCUGCCCUACACUUACAGAUGUCCUUUCCUUAGAAAGGAGAAUAGGAUAUGCGAAGGACAGGGAAGAGUGCCUAUGAAAGUCCCACCCUGGCAGAAAAACUGGGCUCCAGUGGUUCUGAAGUUCUAUCCUGUUUAGAUGCAGCUAUUCUCAGAGGAUUGUGAUGAAGAGAAGGGAUUUGACGUCUGAGAAGGCUCAUCCAGAUAUUCAUGUGGAAACAUGCAGAGUGGGAGCAGCUCAACACACCACAUUAGAACCAAAGCCCUUCAGAAUUUCUACUGAUAGGAGAUAGCCAGCAGCUUCUAGAGGCACUGUUUGGUACUUAAAUGCAUGUCUAAAUGCAGAAACCUGACAUUAGCCACUGAAGAUAUUUAGAGAAACUUCCUUGCAAUAUCAUCAUACCUCAAUCAGGUCAAGGAGUAUGUAACUGCAAUUUCUUCUCUGCUCAGACAGCUUUAAAGGGCUUAGGUUAAUACAAACUACAGUGAUGAUUAUUCUGAAUUGAAGACUUGUCUCUAGGACCAAAAUACUUUCUUUUUAGGAACACUAAGUAGUCUGAUAUAUUGUACCUAAAUGCAUAUGCCAUCUGUCCAGGUCAUCAUAGUCAUAUGUUCCAUCAUUUAAUAUUGCCACAUUCCACAAGUUGCUUUACAAGUUAAAUUGAUUGGGAUGACCCAUAUAAGCUGUGAAAAUCUACAGGUCAGUGUGGAAGAAAGCAGCAAGGAGCAACAAGAAGCAUUCCUGCCCAAAGAAAACAUGCUCCCCAGUACAGAUUUGGUAUGUAGGAAAUGAAGAACUGUACCUCCCUUUCCCCUCAGUACUCACAUUAAUUUUGAGAGGCAUAUCACAGCUCAGCAGUCACCACUGAACAGAUGGAAAGAAAGCAAGUGGACAAGAGGCAAAGAGGCAUUUGCAGAUAGCAUGAAGCAGUGGAGGGCUGAAAGAGUUUGAAGACAAACUUCUUCAGAGGGAGUUCCC
rnacentral:lncRNA from 7 species